CGAACGGGUGAGUAAUGCGUGACCAACCUGCCCCAUGCUCCAGAAUAGCUCUUGGAAACGGGUGGUAAUGCUGGAUGCUCCAACUUGACGCAUGUCUUGUUGGGAAAGUGUUUAGUGGCAUGGGAUGGGGUCGCGUCCUAUCAGCUUGUAGGCGGGGUAAUGGCCCACCUAGGCUUCGACGGGUAGCCGGCCCGAGAGGGCGGACGGCCACAUUGGGACUGAGAUACGGCCCAGACUCCUACGGGAGGCAGCAGCG
rnacentral:rRNA from 1 species